rnacentral:sRNA from 1 species
AACUAGCCCCGAUUGGAACGGCAUCCUUUUUUGGUGGAAGCGGUGACUGAGUUUCGCGAAGGCACCGAUUUCACCAAAAAAGAUACAGUGGAAAGCGGGAAACAGC